rnacentral:rRNA from 1 species
UACGUAGGGGGCAAGCGUUAUCCGGAAUUAUUGGGCGUAAAGCGCGCGCAGGCGGCCGGUUAAGUCAGGUGUGAAAGGCUGCGGCUCAACCGCAGAGUUGCAUCUGAAACUGGUCGGCUUGAGUGCAGGAGAGGGGAGCGGAAUUCCCGGUGUAGCGGUGGAAUGCGUAGAGAUCGGGAGGAACACCAGUAGCGAAGGCGGUUCUCUGGGCCGGCACUGACGCUGAGGAGCGAAAGCGUGGGGAGCAAACAGGAUUAGAUACCCCU